rnacentral:rRNA from 1 species
UGACAGGCAAUAUAUAAAUCGUUUAUAAUUCUAUUAUAAUACGUAUUUAUUGUUAAAUAUGCUAGUCCUUUCAUGAUUAUGUGAUAGGUGGUGCAUGGCCGUUCUUAGUUCGUGGAGUGAUCUGUCUGCUUAAUUGCGUUUCACUAAGGGCCCAUAAAUUCAAGGUAUGUUAGCUAUCGUUUCUCAAUUGACCCCUUGUCUUCGAUAAGCGCGUGUCUUUUAGAGUUUAAACAUUGCGCAUGCUGUUGGGUCCUGAAAGCAACGAACGUGACCGCAACGUCUUAUUGCCUUUAUCUUGCUAUAUUUUAAUUUAAUUAAAAAUAGCUAACAGAGGCUAAUUUAAAAUUAGACGGACCGCUGUACUUUUCUUAAACCAGAGGAAGGUUGCGGCAAUAACAGGUCUUG